UACGUAGGGGGCUAGCGUUGUCCGGAAUCAUUGGGCGUAAAGAGCGUGUAGGCGGCCCGGUAAGUCCGCUGUGAAAGUCGGGGGCUCAACCCUCGAAUGCCGGUGGAUACUGUCGGGCUAGAGUGCGGAAGAGGCGAGUGGAAUUCCUGGGUGUAGCGGUGAAAUGCGCAGAUAUCAGGAGGAACACCGGUGGCGAAGGCGGGUCUCUGGGCCGAUACUGACGCUGAGGAGCGAAAGCGUGGGGAGCGAACAGG
rnacentral:rRNA from 1 species